AACGGUAAGCUUAAAAUAAUGUUUUCUAAUUUGAGUGGUACGGGUAGGUUUUCGCAGGAAAUUCUAGCAUGCUGCUGCAUCAAUACGUCACAUCUGUAAACAUAAAGAUUUAAACAUAAAAAGUUGUC